GACGGGGCCCGGCACAAGCGGUGGAGCAUGUGGUUUAAGUUCGAAGCAACGCGAAGAACCUUACCAGGCCUUGACAUGCAGAGAACUUUCCAGAGAUGGAUUGGUGCCUUCGGGAACUCUGACACAGGUGCUGCGUGGCUGUCGUCAGCUCGUGUCGUGAGAUGUUGGGUUAAGUCCCAUAACGAGCGCAACCCUACCUUUAGUUGCCAUCAGGUAAUGCUGGGGACUCUAAAGGAACUGCCUACGCAAGUAGUGAGGAAGGCGGGGAUGACGUCAAAUCAGCACGGCCCUUACGUCCAGGGCUACACACGUGCUACAAUGGCCGAUACAGAGGGCAGCUACCUGGUGACAGGAUGCAAAUCUCCAAAGUCGGUCUCAGUUCGGAUCGGAGUCUGCAACCCGACUCCGUGAAGUUGGAUUCGCUAGUAAUCGCGCAUCAGCCAUGGCGCGGUGAAUACGUUCCCGGGCCUU
rnacentral:rRNA from 1 species